rnacentral:rRNA from 1 species
AGAGUUUGAUCCUGGCUCAGAAUCAACGCUGGCGGCGUGCCUAACACAUGCAAGUCGAACGCGAAAACCCCGCAAGGGGUUAGUAGAGUGGCGAACGGGUGAGUAACACGUGGGUGACCUACCUUCGAAUGGGGGAUAACGUCCCGAAAGGGACGCUAAUACCGCAUAACAUCCUGCUUUUGAACAGGUGGAGAUCAAAGCCGGGGAUCGCAAGACCUGGCGUUUGAAGAGGGGCCCGCGUCUGAUUAGCUAGUUGGUGAGGUAACGGCUCACCAAGGCGACGAUCAGUAUCCGGCCUGAGAGGGCGGACGGACACACUGGGACUGAGACACGGCCCAGACUCCUACGGGAGGCAGCAGUGGGGAAUUGUUCGCAAUGGGCGCAAGCCUGACGACGCAACGCCGCGUAGAGGAUGAAGGUCUUCGGAUUGUAAACUCCUGUUGCCCGGGACGAAAUGCUUCGACCUAACACGUCGAAGUUUGACGGUACCGGGUGAGGAAGCCCCGGCUAACUCUGUGCCAGCAGCCGCGGUAAUACAGAGGGGGCAAGCGUUGUUCGGAAUUACUGGGCGUAAAGGGCGCGUAGGCGGCCUUCUAAGUCGAACGUGAAAUCCCCGGGCUCAACCCGGGAACUGCGUCCGAUACUGGAAGGCUUGAAUCCGGGAGAGGGAUGCGGAAUUCCAGGUGUAGCGGUGAAAUGCGUAGAUAUCUGGAGGAACACCGGUGGCGAAGGCGGCAUCCUGGACCGGCAUUGACGCUGAGGCGCGAAAGCCAGGGGAGCAAACGGGAUUAGAUACCCC